AGAGUUUGAUCAUGGCUCAGGACGAACGCUGGCGGCGUGCCUAAUACAUGCAAGUCGAGCGAGCGGAACUAACAGAUUUACUUCGGUAAUGACGUUAGGAAAGCGAGCGGCGGAUGGGUGAGUAACACGUGGGGAACCUGCCCCAUAGUCUGGGAUACCACUUGGAGACAGGUGCUAAUACCGG
rnacentral:rRNA from 1 species